CGCAAGGGUGAGUAAGGCGACGGCAACCAACCUCCCACCUGGGCAUAGCCGCGGGAAACCGCGGGUAAUACCCAGCGACGUCACGCGGGGACAUCCCCGCGUGACCAAAGGUGCGAUCCCGGUGGGAGACGGGCCGUCGUGGUAUCAGCUUGUUGGCGGGGUAAUGGCCCACCAAGGCGUUGACGCCUACCGGGCGUGCGAGCGUGGCCCGGCACACUGGGACUGAGACACUGCCCAG
rnacentral:rRNA from 1 species